rnacentral:rRNA from 1 species
AUUGAACGCUGGCGGCAUGCCUAACACAUGCAAGUCGAACGGCAGCAUGAAAUGGGGUAACCCAUUUUGAUGGCGAGUGGCGGACGGGUGAGUAAUAUGUAGGAAUCUACCUAGAGGUGCGGGAUAACUUAGGGAAACUUAAGCUAAUACCACAUAAGCCCUACGGGGGAAAGCAGGGGACCGCAAGGCCUUGCGCCUUAUGAUGAGCCUACAUCGGAUUAGCUUGUUGGUGGGGUAAAGGCCUACCAAGGCGACGAUCCGUAGCUGGUCUGAGAGGAUGAUCAGCCACACUGGGACUGAGACACGGCCCAGACUCCUACGGGAGGCAGCAGUGGGGAAUAUUGGACAAUGGGCGCAAGCCUGAUCCAGCAAUGCCGCGUGUGUGAAGAAGGCCUUAGGGUUGUAAAGCACUUUCAGUGGGGAGGAAGUUGAGUUUGCUAAUUAGAUGGACGUUACCCACAGAAGAAGCACCGGCUAACUCCGUGCCAGCCGCCGCGGUAA